rnacentral:tRNA from 1 species
GGUUGUGGCUCAGUGGUAGAGCACUCGCCUAGCACAUGCGAGGCCCUGGGUUCAAUCCUCAGCACCA